rnacentral:rRNA from 1 species
UACGUAGGGGGCGAGCGUUGUCCGAAGUUACUGGGCGUAAAGCGCGCGUAGGCGGUUGUUUAAGUUAGAUGUGAAAUCCCGCGGCCUAACUGCGGAACUGCAUCUGAAACUGGGCGACUUGAGGACGGAAGAGGGCAGUGGAAUUCCUGGUGUAGCGGUGAAAUGCGUAGAUAUCAGGAGGAACACCGGUGGCGAAGGCGGCUGCCUGGUCCGUAUCUGACGCUGAGGUGCGAAAGCUAGGGGAGCGAACGGGAUUAGAUACCCCGGUAGUCCUAGCCGUAAACGAUGGAUACUAGGUGUAAGUGGUAUCCACCCCACUUGUGCCGCAGCUAACGCAUUAAGUAUCCCGCCUGGGGAGUACGGCCGCAAGGUUGAAACUCAAAGGAAUUGACGGGGGCCCGCACAAGCGGUGGAGCAUGUGGUUUAAUUCGUUACUAACCGAACAACCUUAGUCGUCAGCUCGUGUCGUGAGAUGUGGGGUUAAGUCCCGCAACGAGCGCAACCCUNAUCGCAUGUUCCCGGCGUAAAGCCGGGCACUCUKGSGAAACUGCCCGGGUAAGCGGGAGGAAGGUGGGGGUGACGUCAAGUCGGCAUGGCCCUUACGCGUGGGGSUACACACAKGCUACARUGGCCGGUAACAGAGGGACGCAAGACCGCGAGGUGGAGCAAAUCCCAAAAAUCCGGUCUCGGUUCGGAUUGCAGUSUGCAACUSGACUGCRUGAAGUCGGAAUCGCUAGUAACCGCAGGUCAGSUAAACUGCGGUGAAUACGUUCCCGGGCSUUGUACACACCGCCCGUCAAGUGAUSUGAGUCGGUUGCACCCGAAGUCGCUGGCCCAACCCGCAAGGGAGGGAGGCGCCGAAGGGGUGGCCGGUAAGGAGCGSU